AGACUUUGUUCCCACACCACAGGAAACAAAAAGCGCCACUGCUCUUAGCAUUUCUCCAGAGGCUGACGAAAGUGAUGAACUGAGCUCUUAGUGUACUGCAAGCUGAAUACACUUGAGCAUAUAAGCGAAUGAGGAAAGAAAGAAGGCAGAGUUAUUGAGGCAACAAUUCAGAUUUAAUUGCAUUUGAUAUAGACCACCCUUUAAAAAUAGUUUGGUGGGUAAAAGGCUGCAGUAAUUUAUGGAACAUUCUGCUUGCUUCCAGGGAAGUUGACAAGUCUGGACUGAAUCAAGAGAAUCAGCAUAAAUCUCAGCCGAUGCCUAAUUUUAGAGAUGUCUGGUCUUUGAAGGAGUCUUGCCACAGCCAGAUGGGGUGGGAGACAGCAUUUGAGGGUGGAAAUGCAGGAGGUGCCAAACUGAAGCUCAAAAGGUUAAACCCAUUUUUGUGGCUGAUAAAUCCUAAGCAAAAAUGAAUUGGAUUGUGAGAAGAGUUAUGUACUGUAAACUGGAGUCCCUGGGAGAGGCUGUGGAAGUCCUGGAUGUUCUCAGAAGGACACCAGCCAGGCAUAUUCGAUUAAGGACCACCCUAAUGACCUCAUUUCAACUAAAUCACCUCUGUGAAGACCCUGUCUCAAAUAAAGUCACUUUCUGAGGUACUUGGAUUAAGAAUUCAACAUGAAUUUUUCGAGAGGACACAAUUCAGCCCCUACAGGAGCUUCUAAGGUAAUCAUUUCUCUACUCUAUGUUAGAGUGCGUCUGUCCUGCUUGUGGGUCCAGCUGUUUCUACUGGCAAAAGCAUCUGUCUUUCAGUGUUGCUAACAGCCAUCCCAUCUAUUCCUAAGCUGUGCUGGCCUAGGAAAUUUUAGAAGCUGAUAAGCCUAGCUUGACUCUGUAGACACAAAAUUUCAGGAGCUGAACAUGGGAUGGAGAUACAAAAGAAAGGGUCUUGGUUUCAGGUGUACCUGUUUGAAACAUGAAGGGCUGGCUUAUAGUCAGGAGUGAAAAUAAAAGAUCCCUGUGGUGUUUUCUAGUAGGAUAAGAUGACGUGAAAUGUGGGAGAAAAGAUAGAGGAGAAUGAGUCAAGGUAAGUGCUAGGCCAGUUAGACAGAAACAUUCUGGGAAGUAAAAAUCUUGGUAACAUACAGACUGUAACAAACCUGAGCCAUGUAACUCUUCCUGUGCAAAAACAAAGGGAGAAAGAAGCAAAGAGCAGCCAGAGAUCUAGGACUGACUGGUGGGGUUUUUGGAAAAGGUGCCGUGAGGCAUGAGUGGGGUGUACAGUUCUGAAGUCUUGGCUGAUGUCCUUAGACAAGAUCAUGCCAGAGCCCAGGAAGAGACUUUUGUGGGCCCGACUCUGAGCAUAUCUGUGAAGUAGGGGCCCCAUCCUCAUUAUACCCUUUUCCUACACCUUUCUUUUCCUGGCCUUUUCAUUCUGGCAUCUUCCCUUUUCAUUUUUUGGUAUUCUCAGCUGACCCAGGGUACAAUGAGAGCUGAGAAAAAUCUUAAUCUCUUUCACCAGCAUGCCAAUCACCUGGGCAUCUUGUUAAGCUGGAGGUGGGCUCAGCCUGGUCCUCUACCACACUUUGAGUUGCAAGGGUUUAUGGGAUGAUGGAGCACUACGAGGUUCAGCGAAAGCCUUGCUCUCUUCUUUAGGAGCUCAAGGCUCAGUGCAUUCCCUGGGUUAAGAACAGAAGAUGCCCCUCUUGGCUACUGCCAUCACCUUAACUUUUACUAGCUCCUGUAUUCAUUAGUAAGGGUUAGAGAGAAAAGAAAAAUAACAAUAGUGUUCUUAAUUGGAUCCCUGAAAAAGAUACUGC
ensembl:lncRNA